rnacentral:rRNA from 1 species
AGAGUUUGAUCAUGGCUCAGAACGAACGCUGGCGGCAGGCCUAACACAUGCAAGUCGAACGAUAAGCCACCUUCGGGUGGUGGACAGUGGCAGACGGGUGAGUAACGCGUGGGAACGUGCCUUUCGGUUCGGAAUAACCCAGGGAAACUUGGGCUAAUACCGGAUACGCCCUUCGGGGGAAAGAUUCAUUGCCGAAAGAUCGGCCCGCGUCGGAUUAGCUAGUUGGUGGGGUAAUGGCUCACCAAGGCGACGAUCCGUAGCUGGUCUGAGAGGAUGACCAGCCACACUGGGACUGAGACACGGCCCAGACUCCUACGGGAGGCAGCAGUGGGGAAUAUUGGACAAUGGGCGAAAGCCUGAUCCAGCCAUGCCGCGUGGGUGAAGAAGGCCUUAGGGUUGUAAACCCCUUUCAGCGGGGAAGAUAAUGACGGUACCCGCAGAAGAAGUCCCGGCUAACUCCGUGCCAGCAGCCGCGGUA